AUUGAACGCUGGCGGCAGGCUUAACACAUGCAAGUCGAGCGGGGUGAUGGUGCUUGCACUAUCACUUAGCGGCGGACGGGUGAGUAAUGCUUAGGAAUCUGCCUAUUAGUGGGGGACAACAUCUCGAAAGGGAUGCUAAUACCGCAUACGUCCUACGGGAGAAAGCAGGGGAUCACUUGUGACCUUGCGCUAAUAGAUGAGCCUAAGUCGGAUUAGCUAGUUGGUGGGGUAAAGGCCUACCAAGGCGACGAUCUGUAGCGGGUCUGAGAGGAUGAUCCGCCACAAUGGGACUGGGACACGGCCCAGACUCCAACGGGAGGCAGCAGUGGGGAAUAUUGGACAAUGGGGGGAACUCUGAUCCAGCCAUGCCGCGUGUGUGAAGAAGGCCUUAUGGUUGUAAAGCACUUUAAGCGAGGAGGAGGCUCUUUUGGUUAAUACCCAAGAUGAGUGGACGUUACUCGCAGAAUAAGCACCGGCUAACUCUGUGCCAGCAGCCGCAGUAAUAC
rnacentral:rRNA from 1 species